rnacentral:lncRNA from 1 species
UGGGAAAGGGAGGGCUGCGCACAGCGCAGCGGGCAACAGGAGGCCAAGGGAGAAGGCGGUCACAGCCUGGAAAAGAGGGUCGCCAAGCACGCGGAGCUCAUACGUGUAAGCAAAGCAGGACGGCUCCCAGGGAAGUUGAGGUGAAGACGGCUGCUGCAGGCUGAGCUCCAUCACGCGGCUCAGCUUGCAGGCGAUGGACGGAGGAGUCGAGAAACAACAUUGCCAUCUGUGCCGGUGGACAGAAAGCCAGAUGGAGGCUGAGUGCUCGGGGAAGAGGAAACGCCACUGUUUCGGGCCUCGGAAGCAGAAGAUGCUUCCCGGGCCUUAGAAACCUUGUCCGGGGGAAGGUGAGAGCCUUGGCCCUGCCACCAUCACUGACCCCUCUUGGGUGCUGCCCUUCUCCUUCCUUCCAAGAACACCCGAAAGACAGAUCAUGCAUCAUAUUCAGCAUCGCCCAC